rnacentral:lncRNA from 1 species
CUUAACUUAGUGUUGGUGGAAGCAGACAAUGAAUGCCGCCUGGUAAUAACAUUCUUCUCAACAAUGUCUUGGUCAAACCUGGGGGAGCCCUGUCCUCUCAGCCUAGCUUUUGCUGAGGCAGUUGGUGCCAUAUAACUAGGGACUCUUGGUGUGUUAUGAACCCCAUUCUCCUGCUGUUCAAACUUCAUAGGUGUGUUAUGAACACCAUUCUCCUGAUGUUCAAACUUCAUAGGUAGAGAAGCCCUUCUCUGGCUGGUUUUCGUAUCCUCAUUCCCGAUAACAUGAUCCCUCGAGUUUGGCUCCUGAUUUAUUGCUUGAAAUUCUUCACUUGUCCCAU